UACAGAGGGUGCGAGCGUUGUCCGGAAUCACUGGGCGUAAAGGGCGCGUAGGUGGCGCUGCAAGUCGGUGGUGAAAGCUCGACGCUUAACGUCGAGUCGGCCAUCGAAACUGCAGGGCUCGAGCACUGUAGGGGCAGAUGGAAUUCCCAGUGUAGAGGUGAAAUUCGUAGAUAUUGGGAAGAACACCGGUGGCGAAGGCGGCUAUCUGGACCGACAUUGACGCUGAGGCGCGAAAGCGUGGGGAGCAAACAGG
rnacentral:rRNA from 1 species